CCACGGAAGUUUUCAGAGAUGAGAAUGUGCCUUCGGGAACCGUGAGACAGGUGCUGCAUGGCUGUCGUCAGCUCGUGUUGUGAAAUGUUGGGUUAAGUCCCGCAACGAGCGCAACCCUUAUCCUUUGUUGCCAGCGGUCCGGCCGGGAACUCAAAGGAGACUGCCAGUGAUAAACUGGAGGAAGGUGGGGAUGACGUCAAGUCAUCAUGGCCCUUACGACCAGGGCUACACACGUGCUACAAUGGCGCAUACAAAGAGAAGCGACCUCGCGAGAGCAAGCGGACCUCAUAAAGUGCGUCGUAGUCCGGAUUGGAGUCUGCAACUCGACUCCAUGAAGUCGGAAUCGCUAGUAAUCGUGGAUCAGAAUGCCACGGUGAAUACGUUCCCGGGCCUUGUACACACCGCCCGUCACACCAUGGGAGUGGGUUGCAAAAGAAGUAGGUAGCUUAACCUUCGGGAGGGCGCUUACCACUUUGUGAUUCAUGACUGGGGUGAAGUCGUAACAAGGUAACCGUAGGGGAACCUGCGGUUGGAUCACCUCCUU
rnacentral:rRNA from 1 species